rnacentral:rRNA from 1 species
UAAGUGAAGAGUUUGAUCCUGGCUCAGAGUGAACGCUGGCGGUAGGCCUAACACAUGCAAGUCGAACGGCAGCACAGGAGAGCUUGCUCUCUGGGUGGCGAGUGGCGGACGGGUGAGGAAUAC